rnacentral:lncRNA from 1 species
AUAUCAUCUGUAAAUGUUUAUUUUAGAAGAUAAGUGUAAGCUUUGUUUGUACAUUAAACACCAUCAAAAGGAAUAGCUACAGAAGGCAGCUGAUACAAGAAUUUGGAUAACUGGCUUCUGACAAGCUUUGACAUCUGCAAAGGGACUACAUCUCUCUGCAUUGCUCUAUCAAUUUACCUUCUAGUUACCCACUCUUUGUAGAAGAUUUUGACUUUUUCCUAUUUACAUUAUGUCUAUUAAGGCUGCUGUUUGAGCAAAUACAUAAAGCUUAAAAAUGAAACAGGGAUCAAGGAGACAUUUACUGCAUUAGUGAACUACUCUAUGAGAACACAUCAACAUGGAAGAAAAACACCCCAAAACACAAAAAGACAGCUUGAAGGACUGGACCUCAUAAGUGCUUCUUAUUCAAUAUUCCUUAUACUAAGCAAGUCUGGAAUGGGGGAGACUCUAUAGAUCAAGAUACUGAUCGCUCUCACACCUGCAGCUACUCAACACUCAGAUAUUCUAGGGAUUCUUGCUGCUGUCUUUUAUGGGGUUUUUUUUGUGUGGGUUUUUUUUUUUUUUUUUUUAAACCACUGUGCUAGAGUAAUGUGAUUAAAACUCAGUUGAAGUCAUGGCAUCUUCAGUAAGCAAAGUUAUACUCCAGUUUCCACUAUAAACCACACCUGAAAAAGCAAGAGUGUUAGAAACUGUUCAGAUGACUAAGGAUAUUUACCUAAACCGAUGUUCACUAGAGAACUGGAUGAAAGCAACCAGACAAGAGAAACAUCAACAAAGCCCAUAUGGUGUAGACCAGGGCCAAAUCACAAUAAACCAGACUGAAUGGCUGUACGGAAACUUCGGUUUUAUCCCCAGACCGAAAGGGCCAGGUUCACCACUGGCGGUUCUCUGAGGAGCAUUAACUCAAACCACAGGCGUUACAGCUUGGGCUGAGCUUUGCCCCCAGGCUCCCACUGGUGCGGCCUUCCCUUUGCGGAGAGAACAAAACACGAAGAGAGACGACACUUUCCCUUCCCAACACAGCCCACCGCAGCAUCUUCCUUCAGACUCGCCGGCCCGGGGGUAGGGAGCAGGCGGUCCCUCCACGCAAGGCCUCUCUCUGAAGAGGUGCUGCAAGCCGAGCCAGGCCCGGCGCCUCGGCGGCACCCCGAGCUCCCCCACCAUGUAACCGCAAGCCUCGGCAGCCGCUACUCCGUGGCGGGACGGCUCAGGGAUCCCUUCCAUCACCACCGCGGAGCAGGCCUCGCUCGGGGAGCACAGCCGAUGGUAAAGCCCAGCUUUACAGCUGGCGGCUGCUGCCCGCCAAGCUCGGGGAGCCGCAGGACCACCGCUCCGCCCCGAGGGGAGAGAGCGACGGUGGCGCUCCCCACAGCGGGCCGCCUCGGCUGCCCUGCGAGACAAGAGAAGGGUAGACGCCGAGGAGGCCCCACAGCUCUCCGGCGGCCAUGCCGCGCGCGGGACAGCUGUGCUCC